UGUCAAGCCAGCAGUUAGACGCAGGCUCUGAGCUGACUGGACAGGUAAAGAUCUGGCCAGUGCUGGCACAUUGGUAAUGACUGAAGUAGAAGCAGAGUGGGUACUGGACAGAGAAAGAAAAUGGACUGGGGACAAAACCAUUAACACAUAAAAUGUAAGGAAAAGAUGGGCAAAUACAAGCUCUGUCAAGGACCCCAGGGGCAGGAGGAAAACCCAGUGGGUGUUGGGUCAUUGAUGCUGAAGAGGCAUUCCCAGAAGGAGGCUGUUAAUACCCCUAGCAAGGGCAAUUACUGGACCACAAGGCUGAAGUUACAUUGUACUAGCUGUAUGAACAGGUGGCGAGGAUGUGUCUUGAUUUCAAGGUUGGUGUGGUCUAAUUUGUGACCAUAAUACAACAUGGCUCACAGUCUAAAACAGCAUGGUUCCUAAUGAGACCACCAGACCUCAUCAACAGGAUGGCGGAAGCCCGCCUCCAAUUCCUGUUUAUCGUCCACUGGAGCUCCUUCAUGGAAUGUUACACAUUUUUAAUGACUAACUACGGCACGCUCUCAGCUCCUCAGGAAUGGCAGGGGAGACAGUCACUGACCAAACCCUCAGGUGUGUGUGCUCUGUGGCUUUCUUCCCUCCUCCGUUUUAUUCGGUGUGAGUAGAUAUCGACAGCUUGUGCCUGACUCAUGGUGACCCAUGAGCAUCUCAUCUGGGAGUUGUGAAAUCUUUCAAGGUUUAUCAUUUACUCCUGAGCAGCAUGGAGGGUUUCCGGGUCCCCAGGGGGAUGAAUUUUACUUAAGAUACACAGUGGGUCUUUGCGAGUUAGGGUCUGGAACUAUAAUAGAUAGUUCUAUAGUUUGUAAAACUUCUAAAUAGGGUCAUGUGACUCCCCUCUUAAAACUAGCUAAUAUUCUCCCCGUGAUAAGGACCAAGUUGACACACCAACCUUUGUCCUGUAAGAACCAACCUGAGCCGACUCUAUGGAACCCUUCCACCACCCCACACACCACACUUUGCUAUGUUCUCUUAAGUGCUCAGAGCAGUUUGGACUUGCUUUCCUUUGGCUCAGGAUGGUUGGGGUGAGCCGUUCCCCAUCUUGCACUUUAAAAGGCCUGCGGCUCUGCCCUCAUCUGUUAUUUCUAACAUUUAUCAGCAACUGUGUUGGUCAGACUUCCGUGACUGUAACAGGGAUUCUGAGGUAAGUAAAGGCACACUAAAGAUUUUGUGUGUGUGUGUGUGUGUGUGUGUGUGUGUGUGUGUGUGUGUGUGUUUUGCCGGGGGUGGAUUUCGGCAGACAUUCAUGGAUUAUACUUUCAAAGAUCACACUUAGCUUUUCAAAUAAAUUUGUACCUGCAUAGAAUGAAGUCUGUUCCCCCUUUUUUCAGAAAAAAACGAUGUGGUUAAAAACAGAAAGAUGGACCCCCUGCUGCUCCUGUGGAAGAGAAGCCUGUCUGAGUAUCAAUCGGGCAGAGAACACCAGGAUUCAUAAGGAAACUACAUUCAUGGCCGCCAAGGGCACAGCCCAUGGUCCAGUUAGAUGGGGUACAAAGUUAACACAGCUAAACCGGUUAAUCUAUCGUGGCCUCGGGGUGGUAUAAUUUAAGGGAGGUUCUUAGUCAGGAGGCAUGGAAUAACCUGGCCUGACCAGUCAGGAAACAGUAUCACUGAAAGGACUUCCUAAGUUUUCCUGACUUCACAAUCAUCUUCAAAACAAAGAACUUUAACACUGCCCAGGAGACUCUCCCCCACCCAUCACAAACUCUGUCACACUGCAUUUCCCUGUAAAAAUAAACAGUUGAAACACCACAGUGCCACAAGUAUUUUCUUAUUUAACUAUUGUCAAGACCCUAUGAGGUUAAACAGUUUCCUUGGAAUUAGAGACAGACACCAAGGGGACAGUAGAUUGUCUCAGGUUAGGAAAAGUCUCCAGAUGAACUUGAAUUUUAGGCUGUACUACAAGUUUGAAAAACUGACCAGAAUAAACAAGAAAUAGAAAUAACUAUAUAGGAAUAAAUCCAGAGGAAAAUGAUGCUUAAUUCCCAGACUAUCUUUUUGUGGGCCUACUCAACCAGAUGGCCAUUUGAAGCCAAGGAUUUUUUUUUUUCAGAUAUAGGCAGGCGCUAGAGUGCUGUGUGUGGGGGCAGGAAAUAAAACAUGGGCAAGGCGUGAUUCUGAAAUCAUAACCCGUGCUCUCUUCUGUUCUCACCUUUGAACUGCUUCUUGUUCUGAAAAUCACGCAUGAUCAUGCGUACCUCUGUUGUAAGCCUCUGGUGACAAAGCACUGGACCAAGCUUUUGUUUUUAGAAAUCCGUGUGAAACGCCAUGCUAAGGAGAGGGUAAGGGCCAGGGAUGAGGAGGUUCGUGAGGCAGGGAGAGGGAGUGGCUCCGCCAGGCCCCAAAAUUCCACAUGUCUGUGAAAUUUCAAUGAGGAAUAUUCUAAGAACUCUGUGACAUUUGAAUUCCUCUCUGGCAUAACUGUCUAGGGAAUUCAGACAGAGACACCCUGACUUAGAACAGGAGCAACAGGAGACGUUUCUUUCCAGUCUCUAAACGCACCACACGUCUGUACAUAUAAAUGCACAUGCACAUUCCUGUGUACAAAAAGUCUCCUUUUCUGUGACUGUAUUUGUCAUCAUCAUCAACAACAACAACAACAAAAACGCUGACCGGAAAGAAGUGCUUUUAAAAUAAGCUGUCUUAUCAUUUUCUCUCUGUGUUCUCUCUGUGAAAUAUUAUUAAAACUAUACUGUCUUUGAGUUUGGCAAAUAAACACAAGGUAGAAACGAACUGGAGCUGGGGUCAGCCUGAAGAAGAGAGGGGCGCUAAGAGGUCUGAUUUCCCUUCAGAAUCUUAAGUUUAAAAGAGCCGAGGAUAUGGACUGGAGAUUAGCCAAUGGAAGCUAUUAAUCACGUUAAGGAGAUCAUUUACUUGAAAGGAAAAUAUUUGAAAGCUCGUGCUCCGAACUUUGGAUGUGAGGUGGAUGUGGUGGCAGAUGUCUGCAGCUCCUGCAUUCUCGUGAUAGAGGCAAGAGAAUCUCAAGUCCAAAGCUAGAGCCAACUGCGUGGCCAGACUCUGUCCCCAGAGCAACCUUUGCCUCCUCCCCAAAAAGAAAGGAACAGCCUAGACAGAAAGCUGUUGAAGAGAACUCUUAAAAUUUUGAUUAGGAUGCCGAAGUGUAGCUCUCCACAGUCGAUGACUUCUGGUGGGGGUGCAGGUGUGGAAGAACUUAGUUUUCUUUAAGGGGCUGGCCACUGGGAGUUUGCUCAUGCUCCAGUGAGUAUAUGGGUAACACAAAAAGAACUAUGUUGUUUUCCUUCCUUCCUUCCUUCCUUCCUUCCUUCCUUCCUUCCUUCCUUCCUUUCUUCUUUAUUUGAGGGGUCUCAAGGGUAGGGAACCCUGGGAGGACUAGGGAGUGUGAUCAUGGUGCACUGUGGGAAAUUCCCAAAUAAUCCAACAAUAUAUUAUGUUGGGAGAAAAAGAAAAGCAACUCCGGAUAUGGUCAUUAUAGCUUAUAGCAGCAUUCUUACAAGAAGAAAGAGGCAAAAAGCCAGAGAAACACUGUAAGACAUAUUACGAACCUAAACGUUUGCCUUCACGACAUAUCCUAUGCCACUGGCAGGUUAUGCUGAGGUAGCAGCUAGGAACCAAUGGGUGGUGUUUUACUACAGAGAUUUGCACCUGAGCCUUUCUGGCUACAGACUCCAUCAGAUGGGUUGCGAAGUACAAGAUGACCAUGUAGGAACACAGGCUCUUGGAUAAAAGACUCCCAAACCACACAGCCACUGCUCCUUGUCUCCUUUCUUUUCACCCUUCCUCUCACCAUUUUCCCUAUUUUUCAAUUUUCUGUCUGUGCCUCAUGCUGAACAGGUACAUAAGGUUUCUCCCUACCUCAGUGCCUGCCUCUAUUGAAGUCACAUAUGCCUAAAAUGACUGUAGCUGUUGGUCUAGAACAGCAAAUUCUAGACAGACAGACAGAAGAUGGGAGCAGAACUUCCCUUGUUCCAGCCCUUUACUUUUAUUAGCUAUUACAUGAAAACAGGUUAAAAAAUAAAGAGGUCAAUCGCAAGGCCCUGGGUUCUGUCCCCAGCUCAAAAAAAAAAAAAAACAAAAAACAAAAAACAAAAAACAAAAAAACAACAAAAACAAAACAAAACAAACAAACAAACAAAAAAACAAAACAAAAAAACAAAAAAACGAAAAAAUAAAGAGGCCACAUACCCAGAGGCCAAUCUGGGCAAUAUAAUGAGGUAAAGUCAAACCUGGAUUAUUUAGUGAGAGCUGGUCUCAAAAUAAAAAUAGGGAUUUGAAAAUUAAAAACAAAAAUAUCAACCGGGCGCCAUAGGGCACACCUUUAAUCCCAGCACUUGGGAGGCAGAGGCAGGUGGAUCUCUGUGAGUUUGAGGCCAGCCUGGUCUACAUAGUAAGAGAGUGAGUUCCAAGACAGCCAGGGCUACACAGAGAAACCCUGUCUAGAUACCCCGCCAUCACCACCAAAAAGCUAGUUAAUUAAAAACAAACACAUGGAGUAAGAAUGUUGGUGUCCGGAUAGAGAAGUCUGGUGAACGUGUGUUUGAUCAACUACACCUAGAGAGUGUCUUCUUGGGAACCAUUGGAGAGGGAAGGAGAGGGAAGAUUGGCUUCCUAGCUGGUUCAACUGUAUAGACCAGUGUGGAUGACCCCAAGCAACAGUGUUUGUUUUACACCAAGCCUAUGAGGCACACUAGUUUGCAGCUAAACAUCUCUCCAGAAUUUAGGAAGGAAUUAGACAAUUUGUUGGGCUCCGUGCAAGUUUCUGUGCAACACUCAACUAGAAGUCCACAACUUCAGCCCUGUGCACAGCUUGUCAGUGGUGGAAGGAGGGUUCUUCCUUAGCUGUGCACCUCCAGAUGGUUACCGGAUAUUUGAGAAAUGACCAUGAAAUAAUGCCAAGUAGGAAUGGGGGGGAUGGUUCAGGGGUGAAGAGCACUGGCUGCUUUCUGGGGUCACUGGGUUCGAUUUCCAGCAUCCUUAUGGUAGCUCUUGAUUGGCUGCGAAUGCCCUCUUCCGGCCUCUACAGACACUGUACACAUGUGGUGCACAGACACACAUUCAGGCAAGAGCUAAUAAACAUAAAAGAAAAAUAAAUAAAAUCUAAAAUGGUGCAAAGUGAAGUCCUGGAUCCCAUUUUAUCUUAAUCCUUAUAGACGGACAGCAAUGACUUCAUGGUUGUCCUUGAGUUUCUUUGUCUUCUUGGGACAAAGGAGGAGCCAGAUCUAUAACCUGUCUUUUAUACUUGGGAGGUUUAAGAGCAGCUGUGGCCAUUUCUACCAGAAGACGAAGCUAGUUACUGUCCUGGGACCGUGAGAACAGCCCAUUCAGCCCUUUUCUACCCUAACCCUUAGAGACACAAACCACUUGUCCAGCAGAGAGUAGCUAGGCUCUUCGGCAUAACCUGGACAUCGUCUCUAUUUCCCUGGGGUUGGGCGGUACAUGACAAGCUUCUGCUCUUCCUGAUGUAGCUCUUGGAUGUAUUCUCCUAUGCAGCUUGGCCAAGGUUCUCCAGCCAUCUGGGCUCCUCUUGUAAAGCUUCUCUUGGGAUGUGUCUCUUCCCUGAAAGUGCCACUCCCUCCUCAACCCAGGCUUUUAGCACCUGCCUGGACUCGGGUUAGACUUGCCCCAUCUAGUUUCCUGACACUCCCUCUCUCCAGAGCUUCCUCUGUACCUCCUGGCUGCUGUUGCUAGGGAUGAUGUCGUCCUAGAAGCAUACUGCUGUCACUUGGAGAGGCAGUGAUGUAACUGCUCAGUCAUUUGGCUUUCUCCUCUUCUCUUUAAGCCUGUAUCGCAUUACGUUGAUUAUCUUCUGUAACUGCAUUUCAGGGACUGACUCUUUUCCUGAUGGCUAGACAUCAGUCAGGGCGGGGACAGUGACGAAGGCCGUGAUCAAACACGACAUCGUUAUUUGUGCCACUUAAGUAAGAAGAUUGAUUUUUCUCUUGUAAUUUACAAACUGGACUUGAAAUUCCAGUAGACUCCAUCUGCUCUGCUCAUCGCGGGAUGCUCACGCCGCAAAAGGGCAGGAGAAUCGAACGUGCUCCUUUGUUGAGUGAACAAGUAGAGGGGCUUCCCUGUUGUCUGAGCAGGGGCAAGGUUACCUGGCUGAGCAGGUGGCCUCUGUGGACGACACCCACUAGAGAACCGACUGACUUAGCACAGGCAUCCUGACAUCUUGUUCUUUCCCUUCGCCCGCGGAAAUGUGGUGCCAAAAAAAGCUACAAGCCUAGAGAGUUAGCAGCAAUUACCUCAGGAAUGUAAACCUCAAGAUCAUCUCCAUGUUGGAGCCACGUGUGCAGAUGCCGUUCCCAAGGGAACCGGGGCAGAGACUGACGGCCGGCAUCACGUGACUUGCUCUUUUCCGUGAUAGACCAUUAUCACCCCAAACUUUUACACAAUGUCUCCAAGUGUAGGGCUUGAGCUAGGUUUGUUUUUCUCUUCGUGUGGGGAAUCACAUCUGGACAUUAGAUAUAUUUCAUCUAAAAAUAGCACUUACCCAACUUUCUGUCACUUGGGGAGAGAAAUCUUUCUUUUUUUAAACAUAGACUUUGCUUAUAAUUCACUGUAGUUUUUCAUGGCUCACUGCCACUAAUAGAAAAAAAAAUAAAGGCGAUCAAGUUGCACACACGUGCACACGUGUGUGUGUGUCAGCAUGUAUGUGUCAGGGGGUAGAGAAAUACAGUGAUAAUUUUAUAGACUGAAAAAAUACAUCUGCUUCGUCCUUCUCUUACUCAUUAAGUCUCUUUAAAGCGUGUCUCAGAUCCUUACAGUUAUGUGAAGCCCUGAACUCGGCCCGGAUGUGAACCCACUGAACAAUUCUCUGUAAUUAUUUCAGAGCCACAGAACGUGAAUCUGGAGAUGUUUGUGUCUGACUUCUUAUGGACUAGGCUCUUUCUUCUCACAUGGAUCUUGUAUCCUCUGAUCUCUCUUCUGUUUGGGGUUUUGAAAGAAAGAGGAGAAGUGAAAAAGGAGUUUUAAAAGAAAAAACGAGAUGAAGGGAAAAGAGCAGAGGGUGAAAGCGCCAGGCUCCGAGACCUUUUAAAGGCAGUCUGAACAAAUUCAGAGGCAGAAAUUGGAAUUAAGUUCGACCAAAGCAAAACCAGCAGGCUGCUUCUGUGUCUAAUGCACGGCCAUGAGCUGAGUAAAUAGGGGUUGGCUUUGAAAGGGACUGAUUGAAAUGAGGGAGCACAGAACAACCCAUCUGAAUUCCGCACUCAUCAGGGUCCUUGGCGAUUGGGAAGCCUCUUUAUCUUUGGGGACAGGGCUCUGACCUUUCUUGCAUGGUGGCAUCUGUCCAUCUCUGUAAAGAGAAACCCUUCAUUUGCACUGUGUUCUUUUUCACAGCACAGCCUCCCUACCUUCUCCUGUGUGAGGGAGAUGUUUUCCUGCUCAAAGUACUAUGCCGCCAGAGCUGUCCCCUGAAAGCUGUCCCCUGAAAUGUCACAGGUUCUCCAGUCUGCAGUGAGCCUGUGCACAGCCUCCAGUCUCCCCAUUUGCUCUCCUCUCUUACAGAACAUUGCAAGGCUGCAACCCC